GUGCCAGCCGCCGCGGUAAUACAGAGGUGGCAAGCGUUGUUCGGAAUUACUGGGCGUAAAGGGCGCGUAGGCGGCCUUCUAAGUCAGACGUGAAAUCCCCAGGCUUAACUUGGGAACUGCGUCUGAUACUGGGAGGCUUGAGUGCGGGAGAGGGAUGUGGAAUUCCAGGUGUAGCGGUGAAAUGCGUAGAUAUCUGGAGGAACACCGGUGGCGAAGGCGGCAUCCUGGACCGACACUGACGCUGAGGCGCGAAAGCUAGGGGAGCAAACGGGAUUAGAAACCCGCGUAGUCC
rnacentral:rRNA from 1 species